AGAGUUUGAUCCUGGCUCAGGGUGAACGCUGGCGGCGUGCUUAACACAUGCAAGUCGAACGCACCUUCGGGUGAGUGGCAAACGGGUGAGUAAUGCAUAAAUAAUCUGCCCUUAAGUCCGAGAUAACUCUUCGAAAGGAGAGCUAAUACCGGAUACGUUCUUUUUAUCGCAUGAUUUAAAGAAGAAAGAUUUAUCGCUUAAGGAGGAGUUUAUGUCUGAUUAGCUUGUUGGUAGGGUAAUGGCCUACCAAGGCGAUGAUCAGUAGCUGGUCUGAGAGGAUGGUCAGCCACACUGGGACUGAGAUACGGCCCAGACUCCUACGGGAGGCAGCAGUGGGGAAUAUUGCGCAAUGGGCGAAAGCCUGACGCAGCGACGCCGCGUGAAUGACGAAGUCUUUCGGGAUGUAAAGUUCUGUCAAGAGGGACGAUUAUGACGUACCUCUAAAGAAGCUCCGCUAACU
rnacentral:rRNA from 1 species